rnacentral:lncRNA from 1 species
GGUUGCAUAGCUGGGCAACACUAUGUAUGUUGGCUAUAGAAGAUUUAGAUUUACUAUUUCAGUAGGAUACACCUAGAUAGAAUUUAUCGAUCUUGAUAGAAAAAGAGUAGUCCUAUGCGAUUUGCAAGACUGAGUUCAGAAAAUCUUUGGUCAGAGCAAGUGUGAAUAUUGGAAAGGAGUUUCUAUAAGAUUCAUAAAUGAACUCU